rnacentral:rRNA from 1 species
GAUGAACGCUGGCGGCGUGCUUAAUACAUGCAAGUCGAACGGACAGGCCCUGCUCUUGUGGGGUGCUCGAGUGGCGAACGGGUGAGUAAAACGUGAGUAUACUGCACCUGUCUGUGGGAGAUCUUCAGGAAACUGGGGCUAAAACCCCGUAUGAGCUUCUGCACCGCAUUGUGCGUUGGUAAGUUUCGGCGGUGGUGGAUGGAAUAGCGGCUUAUCCGCUUGUUUGUGGGGUAGUUGCUUACCAGGGUUUUGACGGGUAGCCGGCCUGGGAGGGUUACCGGCCACCUGGCGCCUGCGAUACGGCCCAGACUCCUACGGGAGGCAGCGGUGGGGAAUAUUGCGCAAUGGGCGGACGCCUGAGGCAGAAGCGCCGCGUUCGGGAUGCCGGGUUUCGGGGUGUAAACCGAUUUCGACGGUGACGAAGCGUGAGUGACGGUAAUGAGUAAAGAAGCAACGGCUAACUACGUG